rfam:Triticum aestivum genome assembly, contig: Triticum_aestivum_CS42_TGACv1_scaffold_198620_3AL
UAGGUACUCCCUCUGUCCGAAAAUUCUUGUCUUAAAUUUGUCUAGAUACGGAUGUAUCUAAUACUAAAACGUGAUUUGAUACAUCCGUAUUUGGACAAAUCUAAGACAAAAAUUUUAGGACGGAGAAAGUACAAG